UACGGGGGGAGCAAGCGUUGUUCGGAUUUACUGGGCGUAAAGGGCGCGUAGGCGGCCACCGCAAGUCGACUGUGAAAUCUCCGGGCUUAACCCGGAAAGGUCAGCCGAUACUGCGGGGCUAGAGUGCAGAAGGGGCAACUGGAAUUCUCGGUGUAGCGGUGAAAUGCGUGGAUAUCGAGAGGAACACCUGCGGCGAAGGCGGGUUGCUGGGCUGACACUGACGCUGAUGCGCGAAAGCUAGGGGAGCGAACGGG
rnacentral:rRNA from 1 species